rnacentral:rRNA from 1 species
GACCGUGAAAACCUGGGGCUCAACCCAGGCCUGCGGUCGAUACGGGCAGGCUAGAGUUCGGUAGGGGAGACUGGAAUUCCUGGUGUAGCGGUGAAUGCGCAGAUAUCAGGAGGAACACCGGUGGCGAAGGCGGGUCUCUGGGCUGAUACUGACGCUGAGGAGCGAAAGCGUGGGGAGCGAACAGGAUUAGAUACCCUGGUAGUCCACGCUGUAAACGUUGGGCGCUAGGUGUGGGGGGCCUCUCCGGUUCCCUGUGCCGCAGCUAACGCAUUAAGCGCCCCGCCUGGGGAGUACGGCCGCAAGGCUAAAACUCAAAGGAAUUGACGGGGGCCCGCACAAGCGGCGGAGCAUGCGGAUUAAUUCGAUGCAACGCGAAGAACCUUACCUGGGCUUGACAUGUCGGAAGUAGAAUCCCGAAAGGGUGACCAACUGUAAAGUCAGUAGCCGACACAGAUGCUGCAUGGCUGUCGUCAGCUCGUGUCGUGAGGUGUUGGGUUAAGUCCCACAACGAGCGCAACCCUCGUCGUCAGUUGGAUCUUUCUGCCGAGACUGCUGCGCAGAACGCAGAGGAAGGUGGGGAUGACGUCAAGUCAGCACGGCUCUUACGCCCAGGGCUACACACACGCUACAAUGGUCGGUACAAAGGGUUGCCAAGGAGCGAUCCGGAGCUAAUCCCAUCAAAGCCGGCCUCAGUUGGAAUUGGAGGCUGAAAUUCGCCUCCAUGAACGCGGAGUUGCUAGUAACCGCAGGUCAGCACACUGCGGUGAAUACGUUCCCGGGCCUUGUACACACCGCCCGUCAAGUCAUGAAAGCCGGCAACACCUAAAGUCGAUGGGCCAACCCCUUGGGGAGGUAGUCGCCUAGGGUGGGGCUGGUGAUUGGGACUAAGUCGUAACAAGGUAGCCGUA